UCAUGGAUUUGGAUUUAUGGCAUAACCCCCCUGGGUCUUUCAUAGUGGGCCAUGCCAGAGCAAACUAUAUCCUUGAACCAUUGUCUGACCUUGGCUCAUAGGCUGCUGGCACUAAAGUGGGUUACAGUGAA